rnacentral:rRNA from 1 species
AGCGAACGCUGGCGGCAGGCCUAACACAUGCAAGUCGAACGAACCCUUCGGGGUUAGUGGCGGACGGGUGAGUAACACGUGGGAACGUGCCUUUAGGUUCGGAAUAACUCAGGGAAACUUGUGCUAAUACCGAAUGUGCCCUUCGGGGGAAAGAUUUAUCGCCUUUAGAGCGACCCGCGUCUGAUUAGCUAGUUGGUGAGGUAAUGGCUCACCAAGGCUACGAUCAGUAGCUGGUCUGAGAGGAUGACCAGCCACAUUGGGACUGAGACACGGCCCAAACUCCUACGGGAGGCAGCAGUGGGGAAUCUUGCGCAAUGGGCGAAAGCCUGACGCAGCCAUGCCGCGUGAAUGAUGAAGGUCUUAGGAUUGUAAAAUUCUUUCACCGGGGACGAUAAUGGCUGUAGCCGGAGAAGAAGCCCCGGCUAACUUCGUGCCAGCCGCCGCUGUAACAC